CAGGAUGGGAGUAACGCUCUGUCCAUCGCACUGGAGGCGUCUCACAACGACACAGCGGUUCUGCUCUACGCACACACCAACUACAACAAGACACACACUACUGCUGGAAGUCCGAAGGCUCCGCGGAGUCCGAGCAGCCCUCACAAGUCCUGGCCCGGUUCGGACUAAAGACUGGAUCUGAGCCACGCGCUGCACUGGAAUCUCCCCUCAACUCGUGUAUUUAUAGAACGACGUAACGCUCCGUGUUUUAUUAUAUUUGACAUUAUUAUUAUUAUUAUUAUUAUUAUUUGAAUAAACUGCCAUGUGUACUGGUUAUAUUCAUCUCAGGCCUCGUGUUUGUCUGUGACAGAAACGAGGCCGCGUUCUUUCUCUUUGCACUCGUACUAAUUAUUAUUGUUCAUGGAUUUAGGAGCGAAUCAGUUUAGACCGAAACACGUUUAAAAAUAAUGUCCAGAUUUUGUAUUAUUUCGGUCGAGUUUUGGUUACAAACAGCAGUAACAUUAAAAAAAAAAAAAACAACAACAUAUGAUUUCUCUUAAAUACGACGCCUUAAACCAUGUAAACUGUGUAAUUAACAUCUGUGAACUUCUGCACUAACUCUAUGCAACGUGUUCAUAUGAAUAUCUGAAAUGUAUAUAUUACAAUAAACUUAUUUACACACUG